GUGGGGAAUUUUGGACAAUGGGCGCAAGCCUGAUCCAGCCAUGCCGCGUGCAGGAAGACGCAUCUAUGGUGUGUAAACUGCUUUUGUACGGGAAGAAACACUCCCUCGUGAGGGAGCUUGACGGUACCGUAAGAAUAAGGAUCGGCUAACUCCGUGCCAGCAGCCGCGGUAAUACGGAGGAUCCAAGCGUUAUCCGGAAUCAUUGGGUUUAAAGGGUCCGUAGGCGGUUUAAUAAGUCAGUGGUGAAAGCCCAUCGCUCAACGAUGGAACGGCCAUUGAUACUGUUAGACUUGAAUUACAAGGAAGUAACUAGAAUAUGUAGUGUAGCGAUGAAAUGCUUAGAUAUUACAUGGAAUACCAAUUGCGAAGGCAGGUUACUACUUGUGGAUUGACGCUGAUGGACGAAAGCGUGGGGAGCGAACAGGAUUAGAAACCCUUGUAGUCC
rnacentral:rRNA from 1 species